rnacentral:rRNA from 1 species
UACGGAGGGUGCAAGCGUUAUCCGGAAUCAUUGGGUUUAAAGGGUCCGCAGGCGGAUUUAUAAGUCAGUGGUGAAAUCUCACAGCUCAACUGUGAAACUGCCAUUGAUACUGUAAGUCUUGAAUUCGGUCGAAGUGGGCGGAAUAUGACAUGUAGCGGUGAAAUGCUUAGAUAUGUCAUAGAACACCGAUAGCGAAGGCAGCUCACUAGGCCUGGAUUGACGCUCAGGGACGAAAGCGUGGGGAGCAAACAGG